GAUGAACGCUGGCGGCGUGCCUAAUACAUGCAAGUCGAGCGAACGGACGAGAAGCUUGCUUCUCUGAUGUUAGCGGCGGACGGGUGAGUAACACGUGGAUAACCUACCUAUAAGACUGGGAUAACUUCGGGAAACCGGAGCUAAUACCGGAUAAUAUUUUGAACCGCAUGGUUCAAAAGUGAAAGACGGUCUUGCUGUCACUUAUAGAUGGAUCCGCGCUGCAUUAGCUAGUUGGUAAGGUAACGGCUUACCAAGGCAACGAUGCAUAGCCGACCUGAGAGGGUGAUCGGCCACACUGGAACUGAGACACGGUCCAGACUCCUACGGGAGGCAGCAGUAGGGAAUCUUCUGCAAUGGGCGAAAGCCUGACGGAGCAACGCCGCGUGAGUGAUGAAGGUCUUCGGAUCGUAAAACUCUGUUAUUAGGGAAGAACAUAUGUGUAAGUAACUGUGCACAUCUUGACGGUACCUAAUCAGAAAGCCACGGCUAACUACGU
rnacentral:rRNA from 1 species